UACGUAGGGUGCGAGCGUUGUCCGGAUUUAUUGGGCGUAAAGAGCUCGUAGGCGGUUUGUCGCGUCGGCCGUGAAAUCUCCACGCUUAACGUGGAGCGUGCGGUCGAUACGGGCAGACUUGAGUUCGGUAGGGGAGACUGGAAUUCCUGGUGUAGCGGUGAAAUGCGCAGAUAUCAGGAGGAACACCGGUGGCGAAGGCGGGUCUCUGGGCCGAUACUGACGCUGAGGCGCGAAAGCGUGGGGAGCGAACAGG
rnacentral:rRNA from 1 species